CUUUACCAUCAAGUCACAGAGUAGCACUUGCAACAUCGCCAUCGCCAUCGCCAUCGCCAUCGUCGUCAACGGCAGUUAAGCAGCUGGGAAAUAAGUAUGCUUUAAAAUUUGGCAAAAUAAAUAUCACCAGGAGACAAUCUAUGCUGGAGGCAGUAAAUAUGUUUAAAGACUUCAUUAUGAAAAUCCAAAUCAUCACAAAAACUAGUGAAGGCAGGCCCGGUAUAAAAGAGGUCAAAGCAGCGAAAGAAUCCAUCUUUAAAGUGGCAGCAGCAGUUGAGAAAUUUGCCCUUGAUUAUGGAAAGCAACACCUGAGUGACAUGAAGCCUUCAGAAAGGU